rnacentral:rRNA from 1 species
CUACGGGGCGCUCCAGUGGGGAAUAUUGCACAAUGGAGGAAACUCUGAUGCAGCAACGCCGCGUGGAGGAUGACACUUCUCGGAGCGUAAACUCCUUUUAUAUAGGAAGAUAAUGACGGUACUAUAUGAAUAAGCACCGGCUAACUCCGUGCCAGCAGCCGCGGUAAUACGGAGGGUGCAAGCGUUACUCGGAAUCACUGGGCGUAAAGAGCGUGUAGGCGGGUUAAUAAGUCAGAAGUGAAAUCCUAUGGCUCAACCAUAGAACUGCUUUUGAAACUGUUAACCUAGAGUGUGGGAGAGGUAGAUGGAAUUUCUGGUGUAGGGGUAAAAUCCGUAGAGAUCAGAAGGAAUACCGAUUGCGAAGGCGAUCUACUGGAACAUAACUGACGCUGAGACGCGAAAGCGUGGGGAGCAAACAGGAUUAGAUACCCCUGUAGUC